rnacentral:rRNA from 1 species
AGGUAGCGUAAUAAUUAGCCUUUUAAUUGGAGGCCAGUGAAUGGCAAGACUAGGAAUAUCUGUACUUUAUGUAUAAAAAAAACUUUUCUUCUAAGUGAAAAGACUUAGAUAACAAAGGAAGACGAAAAGACCCCGCGGAACUUCACCUUUUCUUAUACCUCUGCGUACCAAGCUUAAAAGUAUACAAGGUUUGAUUGGGGCAAUCUUGGAACCAAUAAAGCUUCCAAACUUCCGUAUAAAGCUAUACAAAAUUUAUUAAGGACCAAAAAGUAGUUACCCCGGGGAUAACAGCGUAAUCCAACUUAAGAGUACACAUCGAAAGUUGGGUUUGC